GAUUAACGCUAGCGGCAGGCAUAAUACAUGCAUGUUGAACGGCAGCACAGGUAGCACUCCUGGGUGGCGAGUGGCGCACGGGUGCGUAACACGUAUGCAACCUACCCUAUACAGGCGAAUAACCUUUAGAAAUGAGGGCUAAUACGCCGUAGUAUUACAGAUGGGCAUCUAUUUGUAAUUAAAGAUUUAUCGGUAUAGGAUGGGCAUGCGUCCCAUUAGUUAGUUGGUAAGGUAACGGCUUACCAAGACGAUGAUGGGUAGGGGAUCUGAGAGGACUUACCCCCACACUGGUACUGAGACACGGACCAGACUCCUACGGGAGGCAGCAGUAAGGAAUAGUGGGCAAUGGCCGCGAGGCUGACCCAGCCAUGCCGCGUGCAGGAAGACGGCCUUAUGGGUUGUAAACUGCUUUUAUACGGGAAUAAUAGAGUGUACGCGUACAUUUAUGCAAGUAUCGUAUGAAUAAGCAGCGGCUAACUCCGUG
rnacentral:rRNA from 1 species